rnacentral:rRNA from 1 species
ACCUAAUGAGACUGCCGGUGACAAACCGGAGGAAGGUGGGGAUGACGUCAAGUCCUCAUGGCCCUUAUGGGUAGGGCUUCACACGUCAUACAAUGGUCGGUACAGAGGGUUGCCAAGCCGCGAGGUGGAGCCAGUCCCUUAAAGCCGAUCGUAGUCCGGAUCGUAGUCUGCAACUCGACUACGUGAAGUCGGAAUCGCUAGUAAUCGCAGAUCAGCAUGCUGCGGUGAAUACGUUCCCGGGUCCU